CAUUUUUCUCCCUUUAGUAAUAGUAUUCUUUAUGGUAAUAUUUUGGCACCAUGAGAAUGUUCUUUUUUCUAACAGCCUUUUAUUUAAUGUCUCUAGCAUCAACUGAUGAUCUUAAUUGAAUCGUUUAUCACAUUGAGGUGCAAAAUGAUGGUUUAAAAUUUUUAGUUCUCUAAUUUUCUUUUACAUUUAUUAGUUUGUUCUCUAUUUUAAAAAGACUAUUUUCCCUCCUUCCUUUUUCCCAAAGUCCUCUCUCUUUUUCAAGAAUCAAUGUUUUUGUUCUUCAAUGUAUUAUAGUCAGUUACAUCAUAGUUCUUUUUGAUGUUCCUAUUGUGAGCCAGUAGCCAGUGUAAGUCACUGUAAACUAGCUUCUGUAUCUUUUAGACUUGACCGCAUUAGUCUUUGAAUUCUUCCUUUCUUCAGGUAUAACAUGUCCCAGACGUGCCUCAUACUCGUCAUGUUCCCAACCUGGGGAAUAUCUAUUCCUUUUCGGGGGAAAUAAAAUUUUAACUCCCAUUUGCUUCUGGGCCAUAUUUCAGUGGGCAUAGCUAGGAAAUAACACUUUUAAGAAUUCAUAAAUUCAAAUUGAUGUUUACAAUUAAAAUUAAGCAUUACAGGCUUUUUUAUUAUUUUAUAUUUUCCUCUCUUUUCUCUUGCAGUGCAAAUAAUGGUUUUGAGUAAAAAUGUAUUUCCUUGUGCUGUAUGCUGUGCUUAGUUACUCAGUUGUGUCCGACUCUUUGUGACCCCAUGGACUAUAGACGUCCGGGUUCCUCUGUUCAUGGGAUUCUCCAGGCAGGAAUACUGGAAUGGGUAGCCAUUCCCUUCACCAGGGGAGUUUUCAACCCAGGAAUUGAACCAGGGUCCCCUGCAUUGCAGACAGAUUCUUUACCAGCUGAGCUACCAGGGAAGCCUAUAAUUGCUUAUAUGCUUUACUUAUAGCUUAUGUUUCAGCACUACAAUAUCAGUAUUACUAAUGGUAAACAUACAAAAUAAAAUUUAAGAUCUCUGCAGUUCUCUGUCCUUAGAAUAAUAGCCCACUAAGAAAGUGUAGUCAGAGUACAGUGUUCAAAAGUUAAUGGAAAUUACUCUUUUC
ensembl:lncRNA